rnacentral:rRNA from 1 species
CAACAGGGAUUGCCCUAGUAACGGCGAGUGAAGCGGCAACAGCUCAAAUUUGAAAUCUGGCUCUCGGGCCCGAGUUGUAAUUUGUAGAGGAUGACUUUGAUGCGGUGCCUUCCGAGUUCCCUGGAACGGGACGCCAUAGAGGGUGAGAGCCCCGUCUGGUUGGAUGCCAAAUCUCUGUAAGUCUCCUUCGACGAGUCGAGUAGUUUGGGAAUGCUGCUCUAAAUGGGAGGUAUAUGUCUUCUAAAGCUAAAUACCGGCCAGAGACCGAUAGCGCACAAGUAGAGUGAUCGAAAGAUGAAAAGCACUUUGAAAAGAGAGUUAAAAAGUACGUGAAAUUGUUGAAAGGGAAGCGUUUAUGACCAGACUUGGGCUUGGUUAAUCAUCUGGGGUUCUCCCCAGUGCACUUUUCCAGUUCAGGCCAGCAUCAGUUUUCGCCGGGGGAUAAAGACUUCGGGAAUGUGGCUCCUCUCGGGGAGUGUUAUAGCCCGUUGUGUAAUACCCUGGCGGGGACUGAGGUUCGCGCUUUUGCAAGGAU